CAGUAGCCGCGGUAAUACGAAGGGUGCAAGCGUUAAUCGGAAUUACUGGGCGUAAAGCGUGCGUAGGCGGUUUGUUAAGUCUGUUGUGAAAUCCCCGGGCUCAACCUGGGAAUGGCAAUGGAUACUGGCAAGCUAGAGUGUGUCAGAGGAUGGUGGAAUUCCCGGCGUAGCGGUGAAAUGCGUAGAGAUCGGGAGGAACAUCAGUGGCGAAGGCGGCCAUCUGGGACAACACUGACGCUGAGGCACGAAAGCGUGGGGAGCAAACAGGAUUAGAUACCCCCGUAGUCCCUGUCUCUUAACA
rnacentral:rRNA from 1 species